CUCCUAAAACAAUGCAAGUCCCAACUGUACAUCCCGAAAAUCAAGGGCCAGCAACACCUAGACCUCCCGGACCAAAUCUCGUCCGCGUUCCUUACCUACUACCAGGAACUGUAUCAUCUACACCAGGACGCACCUGGGUAGCUGCGCCCCACCAGGCUCGAAGAGAUCCAGAGAAACCUGGAAUCCGCAAACGUGACCAGGCUCGAAGACACUGACUGGGAAGGACUGGAAGCACCCAUCUCUACCGAGGAACUGA